rnacentral:rRNA from 1 species
CCUACGGGAGGCUGCAGUGGGGAAUAUUGGGCAAUGGGCGCAAGCCUGACCCAGCAACGCCGCGUGAAGGAAGAAGGCUUUCGGGUUGUAAACUUCUUUUAAGAGGGAAGAGCAGAAGACGGUCCCUCUUGAAUAAGCCACGGCUAACUACGUACCAGCAGCCGCGGUAAUACGUAGGUGGCACGCGUUGUCCGGUUGUACUGGGUGUAAAGGGCGUGCAGCCAGGAAGACAAGUCAGCUGUGAAAUCCCACGGCUAAACCGCGGAACUGCCUUUGAAACUGUUUUUCUUGAGUGCCGGAGAGGUCAGCGGAAUUCGUUGUGUAGCGGUGAAAUGCGUAGAUAUAAGGAAGAACACCAGUGGCGAAGGCGGAUGACUGGACGGCAACUGACGGUGAGGCGCGAAAGCGUGGGGAGCAAACAGGAUUAGAUACCCGAGUAGUC